AAGUCGUAACAAGGUUUCCGUAGGUGAACCUGCGGAAGGAUCAUUAACUAAAUAAAAGGUUUGUUGCUGGGAUAACCGGUAACAGCCUAUUUACCCUUGUGAACAUGUUAUAGUCUCUGGCGGGUUAGCGCCCGCUACUUUAUUGAACCUAUGAAUAAACAUUUGCCUAAAGAAACAUUAUUAAAAAUUUAAACAACUUUUAACAACGGAUCUCUAGGCUCUC
rnacentral:misc_RNA from 1 species